CAAGCACGAAUCCGCUUCCUGUCUCUAUAGAUUUGCCUGUUGUGGAGCAUACCGAGGAGCCUGCUCUGGGACCUGACCCGCCCUCUAGCCUUACACUAUCCCGGGACAAUACGUUGUUCAGGUCAGCAUGUCAGCCGCCUCCCACACCCUGCGUGAGGCAGCAGAGAAAGGAGGGAGCGGAAGGUUUGAACGUCAGCUGGAGUCUCACCUGCACCUGGACAUCCUGCACAUCUCUAGGAGGAUGGUCUCAUUUCCCCACUGAGACCUACUGGCAGAGUGAGAAUAUAGGCCCCUAAAUGCAGUCUGGCCAUCACUGGUGUCUUCCUCCUUUAGGGCAGGCCCUGGACACCCACGUGUUUCCUCUGCCCACCACCAGCGCCUCUCCUCUGGCUUCCUGCAGAGCUGUCCAGAUUCCUACCAGGGGCUGAAGUCUCACCUUGACACUGCCUAGCUCUUGUCAGCCCCAUGGCCACGUUUCCUCUUGCUGUGGGAAUGAAGAGACCAUCGGUAUCGGGAUCCCCUUGGUGGAUGUUCUAUUGCUGUGUCCCUUCCACCAGAUUGGAACUUCUUGGAAAUGAAUACUAGCCUGAGUUGGGCAGGAGCCACCAAACUUCCCCGGGCAUUUCAUUUUCAACUCCACUCUCCUCCCCAGGGAUCAGUUCUGUUAGUUCCAUUUCACGGUUCGUGAUCAGUCCAUUAUCAGUUUUUCUUCUCUUCCAGCAGACAGUGAGGUCUUGGUCUAACUUACUGCCAAGCCUACAUAAAUUUAGGAUGAUUUGAUUGCUGAAAGUGGUUCACAAACUUGGCUGGCACUAAGCACUUUUCAUAUCCAAGAUUCCAAAGAUGUAACCUAAAGUUCCCAUGAUUUUUAGGUGUAAAUUAUCUCCUUUUCUCCAGACCUUUAACAGCUACUCAAAGGGUCACAGAUGUUUUACAUUCAAGUCGUUUCUUUCCUUUUUAAAGCAAUGACUGUCUGUGUGUCUUCCUCUACCCAGUAAGUUAGCAUAUAUUUUAAUAUUUCUCUCUCUUUAAAACACAUAUUUUGACAUUUCUCUUUAUUACAAAACAAAAUUUAUGAAAUGGAAGCAGCAGAAGGUAAAAUCCAGGCUCCCUCUACUUCAUCGCCCUAACCUUUAAGACCUAUCUUAGAUCCUAAGCCUUCAUUACCACAGGAGUGCCUCGAGUCCAAUUCUUUCUAACCAUUUCUGCCCAAAUGUUGAUAGUCAAUCGUGAACCGCCUGAGGUUGUUCUUUAGUUGUUUAACACACGUUGGCCUGAUUUGAGGGAUCUGAGCAUAAACCCCUUGAGAGCUAGACAGAUGCAGCCUGUUGUUAUUUCUUGGGUGUCCCUGUGUGUCAGGCAUAUAGUAGUUGCUUAAAAAACACUUAUUGAAUUAACCAUAAGCUGCCACCACUUUCAGGGGUGCCACGUCCCAGUCAGGAGCACAUUACACUUCCCAGUCAGGAGCACAUUCAUUAAAAAGCCCCAAACCUUACCACGAGCAGCUACAACAGCAGCACCAGCAGAAGCAGCAUGCGUUGGACCCGCGACUCCCCGCUCCGGGCUGGCCUGGGGCGGCGCCUGGUGUGUCCUGGGCGGCGGGCAUCUGCCGCUUCCGCAUCUCCAUCCGCUCUGAUCCCAUCUGCUGCAAGAGGGAGAGGAACAAAGCGGGCGGGAGGGGGUUCCAGCGUUAUGAAGGCGUAAGCCCAGGGAGUCAGCUGUUUGGAUCAUUGAAAAGAUACAGUGCGACUACAUUCAGGUCAUUUUUGCUACUUCUCGUAAAAUUUAGUGCUUAGAAUCUUAGGAUCAAUUAAUGUAUCCAACAUGUAACGCUUAUCCUCUGCCAAGCAUUGAGAUACAUUCCAGGGAUAAACUAGCAGAUGGAAGGCCCCUCCUUAGGCGCUCACAGUUCAGUAAAGGAGACAGAGACACACGCACUGAAGACUCUGCAGUCAGUGCUACGCAGGGCCGUUCCCAGCUCCAGGCAUCCCUGUGGCCUGAACCAAAGGGGGACAGGGAUGGUGGCAGCUUCAUGACGCUGCCUGUGAGGCCAACGCUCAGAUAUGGGAGGAGGUCAACAUGGGAAGGGCGGCCCAGCUAAUACAGCAGGCUGACGAGAGGUCAGAAGAGGAGGUGAGUCCUGGAUGCCAGAGUGGCCUGAGUCACAUCUUUCCUAGCUGCGUCACCUUGCAGAAGUGAUUGAAAUUGGGACGUGGAAGCAUUCAGAACCCCGCCUGGUACAGAGCAAUUGCUCAAUUAUUCCCAGGAAGCCAGGCAGGAGAGCCAGACUGUGGCCUGCCCGGACCUGUCUUUCCGUACCAGGGAUGGUCACCCUCACCUACUUCAAUGGAGGCCAAGCCAUACGACACAAAAGAUCUGUGCCCUUCAGCCUCUGCCCUGUUGUUGGGGACUCCAAGAAUGUGAAAGAAGAGAGAUAUAAAAGCAGCAUGAGAAGCAAGAAAUUGCUAAGCCCAUUUUACGUUGGAUACUAUCACUUGAUGGAGCUAAUUGCAAGCUAAUAUCAAGGACACAUUAAAGAAC
rnacentral:lncRNA from 1 species